UUCCCCGUUCGGGGGACAGGGUGACGAGGUGGUGCAUGGGUUGUCGUCAGCUCGUGUCGUGAGAUGUUGGGUUAAGUCCCGCAACGAGCGCAACCCUCGCCUCUAGUUGCCAGCAUUCGGUUGGGCACUCUAGAGGGACUGCCGGCGACAAGUCGGAGGAAGUGGGAUGACGUCAAAUCAUCAUGCCCCUUAUGACCUGGGCUACACACGUGCUACAAUGGGCGGUACAAAGGGCUGCGAACCCGCGAGGGGGAGCGAAUCCCAAAAAAGCCGCUCUCAGUUCGGAUUGCAGGCUGCAACUCGCCUGCAUGAAGCCGGAAUCGCUAGUAAUCGCGGAUCAGCAUGCCGCGGUGAAUACGUUCCCGGGCCUU
rnacentral:rRNA from 1 species